AGACAAUUAAAAUAAGUCAUCAUACCGUAAUUUCAUUACCUUUCAGUUCAUUUCAACCAAAAAAAAUCAAUCCAUAAAAAUCGAGUAAUCAACUUAGCUUAUGAAUUUCUUAAAACUUUGGCUCAUGCCAAAACUCAUACUCGGUGAUACCUUGCGCAGGGUAUCUAACCGAGUCCGCCAAGGCUGUUAAAAUUUUGUAUACACUUAAAAUAUAUUUUAGUUUGAGAAAAAUACAGCCGUUCCUUGGCGUUGGCUGAGUUCCCUUUCACGUGGUGGUUUGGCGUGAAGUGAACCCUAAGCUUUACCCCAGGAGAUACCCUACGCGCCUCUCCGUUCGAGGUAAUAAUAUAAUGGAUUUUACCGUGCCCCUCUAAUAGGUUGGUCCACGGAACCCCCUCUGCAGUAAAUAAUUAAUAUAUAACCCACCAAUCAAUAAAAUUCAUUCUAGCAUGACAUGGCAAUUUAUCGCAACCUAACCUCUCAAGGCUGAAUACAC
rnacentral:lncRNA from 1 species